UUUUUUCAUGGAGUUUCUCAU
rnacentral:piRNA from 1 species